rnacentral:rRNA from 1 species
UUAUAGAGUUUUCUAAACUCCCAACUCAUGUCUGACUUACCAUUGUUGCCUCGGCAGAAGCUGCUCGGUGCACCUUACCUUGGAACGGCCUACCCUGUAGCCGCCUUACCCUGGAACGGCUUACCCUGCAACGGCUGCCGGUGGACUACCAAACUCUUGUUAUUUUAUGGUUAUCUGAGCGUCUUAUUUUAAUAAGUCAAAACUUUCAACAACGGAUCUCUUGGUUCUGGCAUCGAUGAAGAACGCAGCGAAAUGCGAUAAGUAAUGUGAAUUGCAGAAUUCAGUGAAUCAUCGAAUCUUUGAACGCACAUUGCGCCCAUUAGUAUUCUAGUGGGCAUGCCUGUUCGAGCGUCAUUUCAACCCUUAAGCCUAGCUUAGUGUUGGGAGCCUACUGCUUUUGCUAGCUGUAGCUCCUGAAAUACAACGGCGGAUUUGCGAUAUCCUCUGAGCGUAGUAAUUUUUAUCUCGCUUUUGACUGGAGUUGCAGCGUCUUUAGCCGCUAAACCCCCCAAUUUUUAAUGGUUGACCUCGGAUCAGGUAGG